GACGUAGGGUGCAAGCGUUGUCCGGAAUUAUUGGGCGUAAAGAGCUCGUAGGCGGUCUGUCGCGUCUGCUGUGAAAACUCAGGGCUUAACCCUGAGCUUGCAGUGGGUACGGGCAGACUAGAGUGCGGUAGGGGAGACUGGAAUUCCUGGUGUAGCGGUGAAAUGCGCAGAUAUCAGGAGGAACACCGGUGGCGAAGGCGGUUCUCUGGGCAUGAUCUGACGCUGAGGAGCGAAAGUGUGGGGAGCGAACAGG
rnacentral:rRNA from 1 species